GGGCCCGCACAAGCGGUGGAGCAUGUGGUUUAAUUCGAUGCAACGCGAAGAACCUUACCAAGCCUUGACAUCCUCGGAACUUUCCAGAAAUGGAUUGGUGCCUUCGGGAACCGAGUGACAGGUGCUGCAUGGCUGUCGUCAGCUCGUGUCGUGAGAUGUUCGGUUAAGUCCGGCAACGAGCGCAACCCACAUCCCUAGUUGCCAGCAGUUCGGCUGGGCACUCUAUGGAAACUGCCCGUGAUAAGCGGGAGGAAGGUGUGGAUGACGUCAAGUCCUCAUGGCCCUUACGGGUUGGGCUACACACGUGCUACAAUGGUGGUGACAAUGGGUUAAUCCCAAAAAGCCAUCUCAGUUCGGAUCGGAGUCUGCAACUCGACUCCGUGAAGCUGGAAUC
rnacentral:rRNA from 1 species